rnacentral:rRNA from 1 species
UACGGAGGAUGCGAGCGUUAUCCGGAUUUAUUGGGUUUAAAGGGUGCGCAGGCGGUCUGUUAAGUCAGCGGUCAAAGCCCGGGGCUCAACCCCGGCGAGCCGUUGAAACUGGCUGUCUUGAGAUGUCGAGAGGUAUGCGGAAUGCGCAGUGUAGCGGUGAAAUGCUUAGAUAUUGCGCAGAACUCCGAUUGCGAAGGCAGCAUACCGGCGCUCAACUGACGCUCAUGCACGAAAGCGUGGGUAUCGAACAGG